rnacentral:rRNA from 2 species
UACGGAGGGGGCGAGCGUUAUUCGGAAUUAUUGGGCGUAAAGGGCGCGUAGGCGGCUGUGUAAGUCAAAGGUGAAAUCCCUCGGCUCAACUGAGGAACUGCCUUUGAAACUGCUCAGCUUGAGGCCGGGAGGGGGUGGUGGAAUUCCCAGUGUAGCGGUGAAAUGCGUAGAUAUUGGGAGGAACACCAGUGGCGAAGGCGGCCACCUGGACCGGUUCUGACGCUGAGGCGCGAAAGCGUGGGUAGCAAACAGG